rnacentral:lncRNA from 1 species
CACGCUCCGCAAUUGCUUGGUAUUAUGAUUUAAAUCAUUCCAUGUGUGUAUCCUCUCACUUUUUAUUUCAGUUUGGGUUAACUGCUUGUAAUUUAGUCUAAUAUAAUAUACAGAUUCGAGAUCAAACAGCAGUAGUGAAAGGUUGAAAAAGUGGGCAUCUUUCUUUAUUAAAUGGGGUUUGUUUUAGCGGUUGAAAUUUGAAAACCAAAAAGCCAAAAUUCCGAGUUAGAGCAGCGUAGAGUUGUGUUUGUGUUGGUUUUAAUUAGACUAAUACAGGGCCAACACCACCCUCUCUUUAUCUUAAAAGGGUGACAAAAGAAAAUAAACAGUUAUGGUGAUUCAUACAUAUCACAUGCUCCCAAGUCCUGUCAGUGCCAGACAGCAGUUUAGCAAUGUUGUUUUUUUCUUCCAAAGAAAAAGACUUGAUAAGGAAACAAAACGCUUUCUUUUUGCUGCCCAAACAUGCAGAAAGAGACUUUGGCAAUGUAACUGGUGUUUGUGCUAAUGGUGGGCUUGACAAGAUGGCAAUGAUGGCCAUGGUUGAAGCAAACUGGUUGGAAAAAAUGCGUUUGACAAUGAUUUUGAUUGAUAUAUCAUUGAACUACAUGGUGUUCGCAUUCCAUGGGGACUCAGCUCAACCAUACAACAAUGGAGUCUAAGGAAGAUAAGGCAAUACAUAGUGGGGAUGGUUGAAAAAGUUGUUUCUAGUAAAAUCCAGAGAACACGGCAUGUAGGGAGCGUUGAACAAUUUCAAAUUUUUCCAUGUUCCGAUAGGUUGUUAAAAAGAGAAAGUGUGAGCGUGAAGAAAUCUGGUUUUGAAACUCCAAAUUUCAAAUCAAACCCACCAUUAGGGGGGUGCACAUGGGACUAAAUCCCAACAAAUAUAAAUCAAAUCAUAAAAAAGUUGAUCACCCAAAUUAAAGUAGAGUUGGUGGGGGCAACUUCAAUGGCUUGGCCCCAUUUCAGUCCUACUAAAGAUCUUAGUUACCACCUGCCGCCUCCCAUGAAAUUUCCUAAUAUUUUUACCAGGAUUGCUGUAUCUACUUAUGAUAAUGCUAAAAUGCUGGAAAUUAUAAAGUGUUUCCAAGAAACAGGAAAGGGUUUCUUCAACAUUCAGAUUCUAAUCUUAAACUCAGAAUCCACUAACAAACAUGUUAAGUAAGAUGCCAUCGAGGGGAAAUGAUAAACCAAAACAAUCAAAUACAAUGGAGAAUAAAUGGUGAACAUAAAGGAAUGACUGAAUUCUGGAAAAUAAUCAAAUACAAGUAAAGUGUUCAUCAAAUUAUACCCAAAAAGAAAAAACAAAAGUAUGAUAGUAAAACAGAAAAAGAAAAGAGAAGAGAAUAAUAACAAUAAAAGCCACAAACUAGCAGCAGUAGCAGCGGCGCCGGCGGCUGCCAUUGUAAGCCUGGAAAAUUAUGGUUCUGAAAUUUUCAUCUCUAUACAUACAACAUUCUCUGCAACCUAAUCUCUUUGUCCAUGCCAUUUUUAUUUCACAACUCCAAAUACCCAUAACAAUUUUCUACUAAAUAUAGAAUUCUCCUCUUUCAAUCUCUCUUUCUCUCUUCUUUCCACCAUCUUCAAUAACAUUCGUUGAAGUGGUCAAUCCUAUAGUAGACUUUUUUUUUUGGCUAGAAUUUCUUCAUUGAGCGAUGAGAAUUGCUCCCCAAGGAGAAAGAAGAGUUGUAUUUUUUUUGGAGAUAAUGAAGUGCAAAGAAGAAGAAAAAGAAGCCGUGAUGAUAGCCAAAUACAAUUCUGCGAACAAUUUUUUUUUUUUUGCCUUUUGUGGUUUGAGAAGAAGGUUAUGAGAGGAGGAAAUUUCUCAAAAGAAUCAAUAGAAAGGUGGCGGAGGAGGUGAAGCGUAUGACACUCCAAUUACUGGUGGCAAUGGUCCCUCAUACACAGGAGCUGGAGGGGGUGACAGUGAUGGUGGUGGAGGUGAAUGGUAAAUAACUGGAGGUGGUGGUGGAGGUGAGGAAUAUGUUACAACGGGUGGCGGUGGUGAAGGUGAUGGGGGUGGCUUGUAAUGAAUUGGGGGAGGCGGCGAUGGGGAUGGUGGUGGUGGCGAGUACUCUACGCAUGGUGGUGGUGGCGGUGGAGGAGGUUCUAUACAUGGUGGAGGUGAAGGUGGUGGUGGAGAGUGAACCGGAGGAGGUGGGGAAUAAACAGGGGGCGGCGGCGGCGGCGGUGAUAAAUAUGGAUAAAUUGGAGGGGAGUGUGGAGGCGGUGGUGGAGAAUGUGGUGGGGGUGGGGGUGAAUGAUGUGGCGGUGGAGGUGACUGAUGUGGUGGUGGAGGGGAGUUAUAGUAGUAAGGAACUGGUGGCGGCGGGGAGAACAAUGGAGGGGGUGGAGGUGGUGAAUUUGGUGGUGGAGGUGGGGACCUCACACAAUAUAUUGGCGCAGGUGGUGGGGGUGAAGGGGGCGGUGGUGACGGAUAAGUAGGUGGCGGGGGUGAAGGUGGUGGAGGUGAUGGAUAUGUAGGGGGUGGGGGUGAAGGAGGUGGUGGUGAGGGCGGUGGAGGUGAUGGUGGUGGAGGAGGUGGAGAGUAAACAGGCGGUGGUGGUGGCGGAGGCGAAGGAGGAGGAGGCGAGGGCGGUGGUGGGGGAGGCGAGGGCGGUGGUGGGGGAGGUGAAAAAACUGGUGGGGGAGGGGGAGGUGGAGAGUAAACGGGUGGUGGAGGUGAAGGAGGGGGAGGGGGAGGGAGAGGGGGAGAGGAUUUAGGGGGUGGAGGUGGUGGUAGUGAUGGUGGUGGCAAAGCAACAGGGGGAGAAGGCACCGGAAUUGGCGGAGACGGCGGAGGAGGGGAAGGCAAAGAAGGAACAAAAGGAGCACAUUUAAAUGAAUUGCAGUCCACUGGCCUAGACAAGAAAGACUUACAUUGCGCCGCGCUUCUUUGCAAAGGUCUCGCAGGCAAGCAAUUUCUUCUAUCAUCAAAUGCACGUAAGUUCAAGCAAACCGGCGGCUCUCCAGUGAAGAAAUUGUACGAGAAUGUGAAGUUCUGCAACUUGGGUAACUGACAAAUACUGGCCGGAAUUUUCCCAGACAGCAUAUUAUGAGCCACAUUCAGCUGCUCAAGGCUCACCAGUUCCCCAAUUUGGUCCGGCAAAGGACCCAUCAACUCAUUAAAGCUAACAUCAAAAACAGUCAAGUUCUUAAGAUUACCCACUUCUUCAGGCAAACAAGAUCUCAACCCAUUGUUCAUCAUAAUGAUUUCUUCAAGACCCGUCAUGUUACCAAGACUCGACGGCACACAUCCAUGGAACUUGUUGUUAGCCAACACAAUAACAGAAACUGGAGAGUUACCGAAGUUGUCCGGAAGGUUAAACCUGAAGCGAUUAUGGUUGAUGAAAAUGGCAUCCAAGUCCUUGUCGAACAGUUCUUUUGGUACGGUCCCUUCAAACUCAUUGAACCUCAGAUCCAAGAACUUAAGUGAAGGCAGCUUGAGAACCACUUCAGGGAACUUACCAGCAAACCUGUUGUUGCUAAGAUCCAACUCGAACAGUCUCUUGAGUUUGAUAAACUUGUGUGGAACAGUACCACAAAAACGAUUAGAGUUGAUGUGGAACAAUGCUAGAUCAGUAAGUAAACCAAGCUCUUCCGGCAAGUACCCAGCAAUAUCACCAUGGUUUAGAUCAAUGCCAGCAACAGUCUUGAUUCUCUUGUUAUCAGGUGCAGGAGCACAGUAAACCCCAGUGUAAUGACAAACACUAGAUCCAACCCAGUUACCAGUGAGAUUGAAAGGGUCGGAUAGUAUAGCUUGUUUCCAAGCCUGUAAAGCUAUGUAAGCAUUUCUCUGCCUUGGGUUUUCAAACACAAGAGAUGGGUCGACAGUGACCUUUUCACCUCUAUCGCCGAACUCAUCUCUGUAAUAGAGAAGCUGGCGUUGCUUGAUAUAUGAAACUUCCUUGUCCGUAAGACCUCCAUGGCUGGUAAUGGAAUGCUGCUCCGACGAACAGAAGAGGACGAACAAAAAGAGAAGUGAGAGAUGAAAAGAAUGGAAGUUGAUGAUAUUACUCUUCUUCUUCAUCUCACAUGAGACAUCUGAUUCAAGAAAAGCCACUUUUUUGUGUGUGUGUUUUGUUUGGUUUUGGCUCUAGAAUUCUCACCCUCUAAAAGCUUCAACAAAGCUUUGAGUGAGUAAUGUGGGUUCACUUUGAGAUCCAAGGGAAGAGAUAGGGAUUUUGGGGGGUUUGAGGAGAGAGACAAGGGGAUGAAAGGGUGUUUUUCUAGUAGGGAUUUUAGGGCAGCAUGUGCUUGUGUGAGAGAAAUGAAAAAAACAAUAAUAAAAAGAAGGAGAAGAAAAAAAGAAAUAAUAAUUCACCAAAAAGACAGCUAAAUCACAGCUCAAAGCCCACCAGAUUCUGUCACUAUCAGCCCCCUACUUUUCUUUCUUAUUAACUCGUUUGCAAGGCUGACUUUAUUCUUAAUUAAAGCCCAUACUCCAUUUCAAGCUCUAAUAAGCUUAAAUUAAAAGAAUAAACUCCUACAAUUAAUUUAAGGCAAAUGUUAACAAAAACGCAAAAGCGUGUCGGUGAAGGAGCCAAAGUUCCGGCGAAAGGUUGACCAGAGAGACAUGGGGUGGGGUGGGUUGGGUUGUUGAUAUCACGAGAUUAAAGUGAAAAUAUCACGAGUGAUUGGGAACAUAAAUUUUGGUGGUGGGAAAUCAAUGGUUUCAAUCCAUGUUUUUAAGCUUGGUGGUGGAGUCGUUUUGCUUCUUUGAUGUUGUCAACUCAUGCACUAAAUUAACUACCACUAACGCUCCAUCAAAUUACCUUUGUUUACAUUUAUUUCUAUUUCAUUUUUUAAAAAUUAUCUCUUCCUAUUUUUCAUAAAAUAAUUAAGACCAAAAUAUUUUUUCAAUCUCUUCCAAUUUCGAAAACAAAUAAACUGGUCGCUCUCAAAAUAAUCAAAGCAAUUUAAUUACUCUCAAUUUCUAAAAUGAGCAAUUAGGGAUGAAGUCAGAAAAUUUUUGAGGGGGCCAAAAUUAAGUUGUAUAUUUUUAUGAUACUAAAAAUGUAAAUUUACUAUUUUAAUAGUCUAUAUAUUUAUAAUUUUUAAACGAUUAAAUCAAAUUUUUUUAUCAUUUUUGGAGGGGUUAAAGUACACUUUACCAUUAUAAAUUUAAGAAUUUAAACGACCUAAAUGAAAAUUUUUCAUUUUAGGGGGUCGGGGUCCCUGCCAACUUCCCAUGGAUUCAUCACUGUGAGCAACUGUUAUUAUACCAAUUAUAAUCAUGUACAAAUGACGAAAAACAUUAACACCGUAAUUAAUUAUCCUUAAUUGUUUACUUUCGAGAUAGACAAGGAUCAAAUUGAUCCAUUUAAAAAAAAUAAAUUUACUCAACUUCGAAAUUAAAAAGAACUGAAAAAGCCUUUUUUACCAAUAAUAAUAUAUACUAUAUUUAAGUGUUGAUCAAAUUUAUGUCACCAAUCAAUCGAAUACUAACUCAAGUGAAAAGAAAAAUAAAAAAUUCAUCCUUUUUACAAAAUAACAAAUAUAAUAAAAAAAGUAUCUUUUCACGUAAAAUCAAUAAAAAUAAACUUAAACCUAAAAUUCCAUAAUUUUCAAAACUCAACUUCACUGUAUGAGACAAAACUUCAAUUGUUUUUUUUACAUACAAAAAGUGUAGACUUUUUAAAUUAUGCAAGUGUAGAAGAAAAUAUUUUAAAUGAUGCAAUUUUUAAUAUAUUAUGGUUUGGUGACUUUUUCACUUUUCAUGAGCAAUAAAUUUAGACUUUAUGUUGGUGCUGUUUCUCCAGCCCGCCAGUAUUCGGUGGCCAAUUUUGAAGUUAACAAUGUCAAUGCUUUAACACUUUUUAACUUGGAAUAGGGGGAAGAUGAUGGGAAGUAUACUAAAUAAGAUUUUGUUGGUGAUUAAAAUAAUUUCAGUUCCUCUUUCUUUUCUUAUUGAAAAUUGCUAGAAAUUAAAGUAUGGAUAGAAAAGUUUAUGCAGCAAAUGCUAACAAUAAUGUAACGCUAAAAAUCCAAUAGCAAAUGCUAAAUCAUUGUAGGACAGAAUGAUUUUUCUUUAUUGGGCAAUGCUAAUAUGACUUUAUUGUUUGCUUUUUAUUUUUGUAAUAAUGAAAAAGAAAUGGUAGGAGAAGGGUAUUAAAGACAAUGAACAAUGAGAUGCAUUAAGCGUAAUAAGACAUUCGUUAACAUUCAUACUAGAAUUGAUUACAAGACAUAAAGCACCUCCUUUUGACGAUGUUUUAUGACGUGUUUAGAAACUUAAUGGAAAGAUCUAUGCAUGUUACUCGUCCCCAUCAUGCUUGAUGGUGGUGAUCAUAAAGUUACAAAACUACCCCUUUUUUUUACGUGGUCCCCCCAUUUUAAGCCCACAUCAAGUGUCACAACGCAAAAGAAAACGACAUCAAUCAAAGGGAGCGGCUUGGCCCUUAUAAGGGACCCACGCGUCACGUUUUGCAGCGCGGGCUCGAAAGAGAUAUAUGAGGGUCCCCCCUUUCCCCGCGUUUCACCGUAUGCAGUUGCACCGCAUACGCUACCGCAUCAUCGCCUUUAUUAAUUUAUUUACUUGGCGUCGGAUUACCUCGCAUCAACGCCAAUCGCUUCCACCAAUUAGGACAUUUGCCGCUGGCCGUCCACUAGUAAUUUGUCUAAACCGCGGUUGCUCGUAAUUUCAAAAACAAAACAUAUACGCACAUAUUUUAGAUUGUUUGAGCCCAUCGUUUGCCCAAAUCCCCCACCCCAAAGGGUUUUUUUUUUCAUAUUAGUGUAUGAAUAUCAAAUCAGUAUUAUACUCGGUUUUAUAUUAACCACUUGUAAUUGUUUUUCUACCUAAUUAUAAAAAAUUAGCAUUAUAUAUCGUAUCACUUUAAUAUUGAUUCUAAAAUUUUGACCCUCAUAAAUUAUGCAUUGUAUGAUUUGGAUGAUUAAAACAGAUAAAAUUAAAUAAUUAAGAGACUAUUUUAUAAAUUUUCAUAAUUAAAUAACCUAAAAAAAUUAAUUAAGAAUUGAAUGACUAUUUUAUAAUUUUUUUUAUAAUUAGUUCACUACUAACAUGAUUUAUUGUGUUUAUUAUAUAAAAAAAUUAGUAACUUUUAGCAAUCUUAUCUCAAAUAUAUAGGUUUUUUCCCUAACUAUAUAGUUUAACUUUUAAUAUAAUAAAAGUGAAGUUUUUUAAUUAUCUGGCCGGCUUCAUAAACAUCUACCGGAAAAACAUGAUAACUUAAGGGGAAAAUGAAUUCUGGAUUGUAUAAAAAUUUAUUUUUAACACUUGACACAAUAAUGUUAAUAAAACAUAAAAAGUUUCUCUUCUUCUUUCGGUUUUAUGUAUUAAUUCACUAACUACGGGUAUAUAAGAAUUAAGAACUCAAAACUUACAUAUAUUUUGUAUACAAAAAGCAAACCAUAAAAGUUAAUUACAGUUUCAAUUGAAUAUUUAAGUAUAAAUCAUUUUCUUAAAUUGUCUUUUUGAAUUAUGUCGAAUUUUUUAUAAUUAAAGUAAUUUUCUUUUUCGUUUUAUAAUUUAUAAAAAUUAAACAUUAUUUUCGAAUUCUUUCUCUACUACAUCUUUUCAUUAUACUUAACACUACAUCCAACCUUAAAUGCUUUUUGAUUUUUUUUUUUUUGAUUAGCGGCAAUAGAACAUCAAAUUCAUAAAAAAAUAAAAGCAUUAGAACCAAACAUGUUUUUCUUACUUAUUAAAAGUCAGUGGGAAGUGAGAACUGAGAAGCAAUCAUAUUGGUAGGAAUGGGUAGAAUUUAAAAUACGAAUAAUACAGAAAAACAACAAAACAUAAUAAACGAAAUAAAAUACCAAACUGCAAUAGCAUUUUAAAAUAUAUAAAAAAUAAUAUAGAAAUUAUUAAAUACUCAAAAAAUAAUAAUGCAUUGAAUUUGCAAUUAUACUCAUUUGAUUCUUAUUACAAUAAUCACCGGAGAAAAGAAGAGUCAAAUUGUAUUUGGUGACUAUCAACAAAAGCAGAAGUCCUGGAUCGUUAUCUUCUUCCUUUUUUUCUUUUUGUAGUAUUGUUCUCUCUCAUUUUCGUCCCAUUUUUAUUUAAAGGAAGAAAGAAACAGUCAAUUCCAUCUUUUUGUUCUAAAAGAAUAUAAUUAUCAAAGCCAGGAGAAUAAUAACAACUUUAGCGUAUAAACGGCUGGUACAGGUCAGCAGAAGACCGUGUGGGACUCUUUAUUGACACGUAAGAAAGCGAAACCCCUAUAGACGGUUACAAAUGCCAGCCGGCAAUGCUUUACCUAUUCUUCUUAAUAAUACAACACGUGUCGUGUGAAGGCUACUUUGUUAUAUCACGGAUUUUUCCUACACAAUAAUGCUUUUACUUUGUGAUUAUUGUUUAUAAUUUUUUUAUAUUUCCAAACAUAGGUAAUAUGGUGUUGGAUGGAUAUUAAUCUAUUUUGGUAUACCCUUUUAGAAUUAUUGAUAUAUGUGUCUAAAAAAUAUUUAUAUAUUUUAAAUAAUAAAAUUAAAUAAAUCUCAAAUAUAAAGUAUUCGUAAAAAAAAAAAAUUUGGUUAAAGUGGUAAAGAAAAUAUUUUUAAAAUAUUGGUGGUAUAAGUUUAAUUCUUACCAUAUGUAAACUUUAAGAUAAAAAAAACUCAUCAAUUAUAUAAAAUAAACAAGCAAAAAAAUAUUUAUUCAUAAACUAAACAAUAAGACCAUCUUACACUAUGCAUAUAACAAUUCAUAUUUCAAUAAAUUCAAAUUAAAUAAUAAAAUAUUUAUUUUCAAUUUUAAAAUAUGUUUUAUCAUUAUUUUUUACAAAUAAAUAAAUAAAUAAAUUUAAUUUUAAAAAAUAUUUUAAAAUUCUUUUUUUAAUACGGAUCAGUAUACCGCAUUUCGGCUCAUAUAGACAAAAUUAAUCAGUAUGCACCGAUACAGCGGGUACUGGCUGAAAUUCGCAUCGAAAUGGAACUUAAAGUUUAUUGUUCCAAUUUACUACCGAAAAUGAGUACUCUGACCGGUACAUGCAGUACCAAAAUGAUGCCAACUACUAUAGUUGAUAUAUGACUUAUCUAUAUUAAAUAUAAAAUAGUUUAUUGAGUUGGUGUCAAUGAAUUAACUUGAUAUCAAUUUAGUUGUAAAAUUAUUAAAAUAUGUCUGCUUUAAUAAUUAAUAAUUUUGACUAAAAAAGGUAAUUAAUAUUAAUAUUAAAAAUAUUAGUCUUUUGAUAUAUUUAUGUACUAUUUUUAAAUAAAACAAUGAAAAAUUAUUUUAAAAUUACCUUAAAACACAUUAUUUGAGAUUGAAUGUAAAACCAAAAAAUUUAAAUAGAAAUCUAUUAUCCCUUCACGAAUAAUCAUCAGUUGAAAUGAGCGUAUAUAUUUAUUAAUAUAAUAUAUUUUCGUUGAACCAUAUAAUGUAUAUUAUAUAAAUAGUAUUUUUCUUUCAAAAUUACGUUUUGUAGUGUACAAUUAUGACGUUAAAAUUUUAUUGUAGUGAAGUGAUAGUAGGAGUUAGUCGAUGUUAAUAAAUUAUAAAAUAUUAAAAGAGAAAUAACAAAUGUAAAUGUUGUUAAGGUGUUUCAUCCUUUUCAUGUUUUCAAUAUAUAACUUGAUAUACGAAUUUUAAUUUAUGUAAUUUAUCACAUGAAAUUUUGAUUUGGAUGUACACAUGAAAAUUUAAUUUUGAUUUAAUUGUGCCUAUUUAGAUAAAUACAUCAAUUUAUUUUUAUAUUGAAAUUUGUGUAUGCAAUAUAUGAAUGUAAGAUAGUGUUGUGCUGAUAAUGUUAUUAGUAGUUUUGUAAAAAUUAAGUUAAAAUUUCAUGUAUAAAAUUACACAAAAUCAAUAUUUAUAUACAAUAUUAUAAAUUGGACAAAAAUUCAUAUAUAAUUUUAAUAUUUACGAUUAUACCAUAAAAAUAUAUUAUAUUUAAAAAAAACCUAUUAUUAUUGUUGUAAAAAUCAAGAGGAUGUGAAUUCACUGGAUAUUUAAGGUCAUAGAUAAAAGUAGGCAUUAUAUAACAAAAACAAAUCUAUCAUUUUUUUAAAUUCCUUUUAAAAAUUUACAAUUUAUUUUAAUAUACUUCUUUAAGAUAAAUCUAUAUUUUUUGCAUACAUUUUUUUUCCCUUUUUCCACAUGAUAAUGCUCUUGAUUAUCGACAUGAUAAUUUCAUGAAAAAAAUGUGAAAAUGAUGAGUGAUUAAAGUUUUACCGAAUCCCAAUAGUUUAAUUAACCCUAAUUACUCAUUAUCUAUACGAAAAUUGAAAUUUUUGAAAACAGAAUUGACAACUGUAUAAGAAAACAAUAGCUGGCAAGGUGGAAUUUAACAGAGCUGGAAAAUUAAAUUCAACUUUGAUUAAAGCCCUUCUCUAUUUGUUUUUUUCUAGCUCAAGGCAUGUAACGUAAAGGACAUAUGUUUUGAAACAACAUUAAUCUUCUUCUCUUUUUUUUUUUUAAUGAAUUAAUAUCCGUAAAAUUAGGUAAAAAGACAGAAGACCUUGACUUGAGAAAGGUGCAAUGAAGAAGAGAG